rnacentral:misc_RNA from 1 species
GAUGAAGAACGUAGCGAAAUGCGAUACGUAGUGUGAAUUGCAGAAUUCAGUGAAUCAUCGAAUCUUUGAACGCACAUUGCACCUCUCGGUAUUCCGGGAGGUAUGCCUGUUCGAGCGUCAUUUGUACCCUCAAGCUCUGCUUGGUGUUGGGUGUUUGUUCCGCCUCUGUGUGUGAACUCGCCUCAAAACAAUUGGCAGCCGGCGUACUUGUUUCGGAGCGCAGCACAUUUUGCGAUCCAGAUCAACGUACAGCGGCAUCCGAGAAGCCUUAUUUAACGCUCUUGACCUCGGAUCAGGUAGGGAUACCCGCUGAACUUAAGCAUAUCAAUAAGCGGAGGA